rnacentral:rRNA from 1 species
UAGGGAAUAUUGGACAAUGGGGGAAACCCUGAUCCAGCCAUGCCGCGUGAGUGAUGAAGGCCUUAGGGUUGUAAAGCUCUUUCGGCGGGGAAGAUAAUGACGGUACCCGCAGAAGAAGCCCCGGCUAACUUCGUGCCAGCAGCCGCGGUAAUACGAAGGGGGCUAGCGUUGCUCGGAAUCACUGGGCGUAAAGCGCACGUAGGCGGAUUUCUAAGUCAGGGGUGAAAUCCUGGAGCUCAACUCCAGAACUGCCUUUGAUACUGGAAAUCUCGAGUUCGGGAGAGGUGAGUGGAACUGCGAGUGUAGAGGUGAAAUUCGUAGAUAUUCGCAAGAACACCAGUGGCGAAGGCGGCUCACUGGCCCGGUACUGACGCUGAGAUGCGAAAGCGUGGGGAGCAAACA